UACGAAGGGAGCUAGCGUUGUUCGGAAUCACUGGGCGUAAAGCGCACGUAGGCGGAUGUGUCAGUCAGGGGGUGAAAUCCCGGAGCUCAACUUCGGAACUGCCUCUGAUACAGCACGUCUUGAGUCCGGAAGAGGUGGGUGGAAUUCCUAGUGUAGAGGUGAAAUUCGUAGAUAUUAGGAAGAACACCGGUGGCGAAGGCGGCCCACUGGUCCGGUACUGACGCUGAGGUGCGAAAGCGUGGGGAGCAAACAGG
rnacentral:rRNA from 1 species